UAUAUAACAAAAGAAAGAAUAGAAAGGAGAAAGAAAGAAACAGAGAGCAAAACGAAACAGAGAAGGGAGAAAGAAGAAAAAGAAAGAGCGACGGUUUAGGGGUUUCAAAACUUCUAAAUUCAAUUGAUCAAGAAGUACGAAACUCGAGGUUAGACAAAGGGAAGAAUAAAGUUGAAGACUAAGUUGGUGAAUUUGGCUAUAAUUGGUACCGAG
rnacentral:lncRNA from 1 species